rnacentral:lncRNA from 1 species
AGAUAGAAUUGAGCUCUUAUACCAUUUAAAAGUAUUAAGUCAUUAUUGCUUGUAAAUUUUGGAAUCUUGGAUUGAGUAAUGUAUGAUUGGAUUGAUAGCGAUUCCAUAGGAUUAAACGGGUGGUUAGUUGAUAGUAGAUUUAACGGAUAAAAAUGAUCAAAAGGUAAAUCCAACAGCAAAAAACUUACAAACAGUAAGUGCCUUGUCCUUUUAAAAGCAAUAGCUGCGCUCUCUCCCUCUCUCUCUCUCUCUCUCUCUCUAUACUCCUAAGCCGUUUUCGAUUAUGAAAAUUUCGAAUCGACGAUCAGCUCAUUACCCUUGAUUUAGCGUAUUUAAAGUAUCUAAAAAAUAAAUUUUGUAAUUUUUUGAUAUUCUUUACCUUGCGAUCAAAAGUGUUCAAAAUCAAUUGUUAAAAAUAAAAAUCUCAUAAAAGGUAGUGAUAUAGCACUAAAAUUUUUUAUCAGAUAUAUUGAUCUUGCUGUAGAUAGUAUGAAAAAAUUUUUAUUAAAAUUUCAUCUUAUUUGGGUACUUCUACACCGUUAAAGUUGAAAACGGCAGUCAUCAACAAUUGUAAAUAUUAAUUUUGAACCCAUUUGAUCGUUAGGUAAAUAAUAUCGAAAAAUUACAAAAUUUAUUUUCUAGAUAUUUCAAAUAUGGUAGAUCAAGUCUAACGAGGCCAAUCACCGAUUCGGAAAUUCAAUCAUACGGCUUAGGAGCACGGAGGUAUCCGUGCUUUUAAGAGCACAGCAG